GAGAGCAGGAGGGACUCACCAUGUGAGAUCCUUGAGACCGCCCCACAGCCACCAAGGAAGAGCACUGCAAAACCUCCCUUCCUCUCCCAGCACCAAGCUACUCCCAGACUUCUCUAGCACACAGUCCCCAAAAGCCACCAACAAGCUGAGCCCCCACAGUUCAGGUUCUGGACACAAACUUCUCCCAAGCCCCAGGAGCUGAGACCUGCAAGAUGUGGCUGCACUGGAGACUCGGUAAUGAGACUCCAAUACACUGGGAUCCUGACUGCCCUAACUCAAUCUCCCAACCUGAUGCGGACAGCUGUAAUUGUGCUAAUUAGCUGCAGAACCUGUGAUGUACUUCAGCUGGGCUCAGAGUGAAGAGAGAUUAAAACAAAGCCAAAUGAGUGAGAAA